CAGCCGCCGCGGGAAAACGGAGGGAGCUAGCGUUGUUCGGAAUUACUGGGCGUAAAGCGCGCGUAGGUGGUUCGCCAAGCUGGAUGUGAAAUCCCCGGGCUCAACCUGGGAACUGCAUCCAAAACUGGCGAGCUAGAGUAUGGUAGAGGGUGGUGGAAUUUCCUGUGUAGCGGUGAAAUGCGUAGAUAUAGGAAGGAACAUCAGUGGCGAAGGCGACCACCUGGACUGAUACUGACACUGAGGUGCGAAAGCGUGGGGAGCAAACAGGAUUAGAUACCCGUGUAGUCCCUGUCUCUUAUAC
rnacentral:rRNA from 1 species